rnacentral:rRNA from 1 species
GAUGAACGCUAGCGACAGGCCUAACACAUGCAAGUCGAGGGGCAGCACAAGGGUAGCAAUAUUCUGGUGGCGACCGGCGCACGGGUGAGUAACACGUAUGCAACCUACCUGUAAGAGGGGAAUAACCCGGAGAAAUUCGGACUAACACCGCAUAAUACCGUUUAACUGCAUGGUUGAACGGUUAAAUAUUUAUAGCAUACAGAUGGGCAUGCGUAUGAUUAGAUAGUUGGUAGGGUAACGGCCUACCAAGUCAACGAUCAUUAGGGGUUCUGAGAGGAAGGUCCCCCACAUUGGAACUGAGACACGGUCCAAACUCCUACGGGAGGCAGCAGUGAGGAAUAUUGGUCAAUGGGCGAGAGCCUGAACCAGCCAAGUCGCGUGAAGGAAGAAGGUUCUAUGGAUUGUAAACUUCUUUUGUAAGGGAAUAAAAUGCGCUACGUGUAGUGUUUUGUAUGUACUUUACGAAUAAGGAUCGGCUAACUCUGUGCCAGCAGCCGCGGUAAUACAGAGGGGGCAAGCGUUAUCCGGAUUCAUUGGGUUUAAAGGGUGCGUAGGCGGCUUUUUAAGUCAGUGGUGAAAUCUUGCCGCUUAACGGUAAAAUUGCCAUUGAUACUGAGGAGCUUGAGUACAGUUGAGGUAGGCGGGAUGUGUAGUGUAGCGGUGAAAUGCUUAGAUAUUACACAGAACACCAAUUGCGAAGGCAGCUUACUAAACUGGUAACUGACGCUGAUGCACGAAAGCGUGGGGAGCGAACAGGAUUAGAUACCCUGGUAGUCCACGCCGUAAACGAUGCUCACUCGCUGUUUGCGAUACACAGCAAGCGGCCAAGCGAAAGCAUUAAGUUAGCCACCUGGGGAGUACGAUCGCAAGGUG